rnacentral:rRNA from 1 species
UACAGAGGUCUCAAGCGUUGUUCGGAUUCAUUGGGCGUAAAGGGUGUGUAGGCGGCGCCGUAAGUCGGGUGUGAAAUUUCGGAGCUUAACUCCGAAACUGCAUUCGAUACUGCCGUGCUUGAGGACUGGAGAGGAGACUGGAAUUUACGGUGUAGCAGUGAAAUGCGUAGAGAUCGUAAGGAAGACCAGUGGCGAAGGCGGGUCUCUGGACAGUUCCUGACACUGAGGCACGAAGGCCAGGGGAGCAAACGGG